ACUUAACGCGCGCCGUAACCCGCGAUAAACACGAGGACGCGAUAAAUAUUCGCGGCUCGCCGUGAACCACAGGUCGAACAGGAACGAGUCGCCCGUGGAUUCUUCAGUUGUUCGAACGGCUUAUCGGCGUGCACGUGAUCCGACGCGUCGCGUCGCGUCGACGAAACGUCACUCUAUCAAUGGUGGUUGAUGGUUCCUCUUCACCACAGAUCGCCCAGCACCUUGGACUUUCCGACACUUCAUCCUCGAUAGCAUCGAACCUUAACGCUAGAUUCGCGACAUGCGACGAUUCGACGCAUAAUGAAAAACGAUUGUUAAUCGAGAUACCUAUGCUCGCGAGGCCCGGUCGGUUCUGUAGUACAAUAGUUAUUCGUUUACCUCGACAUCGGAGCCAUGUGCUACCAAUGCUCGCGGCAGUGCUGAGGGACUGCUGACACUGAGUACACCUUUUCACCGCCUCGCUCCAUCUGGGACUAAGAAACAUGUCAGGCACCGCGAAUCCAGCUUUCGAGGACAAUGAGCUGAGUGUACUGGAAGCGGGAGAACGCGGCGACGAGUUUAUGAAAAACAAGGUGACGACAAAGGCGGAGUCCCCUGGUUUCUUAGCCGCAGGAUACAACGCGCUGGACGUUUUCCUGUCGAAGCACCGCAGGACAGUUAAGGUCCUAGUCUUGCUCCUUGUCAACCUCGUGUUGCUGACCUACUUCGUUUUCGCCACGUUGUACUGGAGAAACAACAAUUACGAGAAAGGCUACAACUGGUGCCAUGGCUACGGAAUGCUGCUCCUCCUCUUCGUCAUCGGCUACGCCGGCGUGUUGUAUCACUACCUCGCGAAACGUUUCAGGAAAAAGAUCGGUCAACAUAGCAGUCCGUUCCGAGGUCGCUUGGAAACCUUCCAAAACACCAGAUACGGCGGCAGGGUUUUCCGGACGGUGUUGUACGCGUGCGUGUUCGCCGCCAUCAUCAUCUUUCUGAUUUUCGACACGGUGGACUCUAGGGAAAGGCUAAUGAGCCUCAUCGGAGUGGUGAUCCUGUUGAGCCUCGGAUGGCUCUUCUCGAAGCAUCCCAGCCGUGUCAAUUGGAGGCCAGUUUUAUGCGGACUGAUUUUGCAAUUCCUCUUCGGCCUGCUGACGAUCCGCUGGGACGUCGGCCGAGCGAUUUUCCAGUGCAUCGCCGAUAAAGUGACGACGUUCUUGAACUUUGGCAAAGCCGGCUCAGCCUUUAUCUUCUCGGAGAAAUUGGUCGCUGACGGGGUCUUCGCGUUUUCGGUCCUGCCAACGAUCUACUACUUCAGCUUCAUAAUCCAAACCCUGUUCCACCUAGGCGUGAUGCAAUGGAUCAUCGUGAAUAUUGGUCGCAUUCUGCAAAGCCUGCUGGGAACGUCGAUUUGCGAGUCGAUGAGCUGCUCCGCGAAUAUCUUCGUAGGAAUGACAGAAUCUCCAUUGAUUCUUAAGCCCUACAUGAAGAAGCUGACCACUUCCGAGUUCCACACUCUCAUGGCGUCGGGUUUCGCGACAGUGUCAGGAACUGUGCUGGCAGCGUACAUCGAGUUCGGCGCGAACCCGGCUCAUCUGAUAACGGCUUCGCUGAUGGCAGCACCGGCUACUCUGUGCUACUCGAAACUAUUUUACCCCGAGACCGAGGAGAUCCUAAUCACCCGACAGAGCGUGAAACUCGAGAAAUCGACAGACUCCAGUCUCAUAGACGCUGCCACUAAGGGUGCACUGGCAGCUAUCCCCCUUGUUCUAGGAAUAAUUGCCAAUAUUGUCGCGUUUGUAGCGUUCAUUACUCUAGUGAACUCGGUACUUGGCUGGUUGGGCACGUUGGUUGGCUACGAUCCCCAAUAUUUCGGGGUUCCCCUCAGCCUUGAACUGAUAUUAUCGAAGGUGUUCAAACCCCUAAGUUGGAUUAUGGGGGUGCCUUGGGAGGAAUGCGAGGAUGUGGCAACCUUAAUAGGUCUGAAAACCGUCAUCAACGAGUUCGUUGCCUACCAGAAAUUAGGGGAAUUCAAACGUCAGGGUAGAAUAUUUGGCAGAACAGAAGCGAUCGCGACAUUCGCCAUUUGUGGUUUCGCUAAUCCGGGGUCCAUAGGUAUCACGCUUGGCGGGCUGACUUCUAUAGCACCGGAAAAGAAGGAACAGAUCACGAGCACUGUCAUGAGAGCGUUUGUAGCUGGCAGCGCGAUCUGUUUUCUCACAGCUAGCUUCGCUGGAGUGCUGAUAACCGACGAUGCGUUCGCUACCAUUGCCAAUAGCACUGCGAUAAGCAUUAACAAUGCGACGCACACUCUUGUCAGCUAACCGAUCGAGUUCUUGAAAGACUUUUCCAGCUUCGUAAUCGUGAUUUUACUAUCCGUUGCUUAAACGUGUAAAAAAACAGGGUACAAAAGACAGACGUGUUUCCUUUCAUCUCGCAGAUAUUCAUUGAUAUUCUUGUACAAUACUGACAGGUGUACAGAGGAAUUAAAGCUACAAAGGAGAGUACGGAGAAAGGAGAGUAGGGCAAGGACUGGUGCAUUUUGUACAAUAUCAGAAAUUAUAAACAACAGUGUAUACACUUAAGUAAAAAGUGGUCGUUACAAAAUGCUAGAGCGGACCGUACCAAGUAAGAUUACCGCGUAUCACAAUUUUCUUAUACGGAAUGUUCGCGCAGCAUGCUUUCCCGGGCAGCUUCCGUGAAACAGGUGCAGCCAUUUUUAUUUGAUUGUACCAUAAAGCUAGAUUUUUUUUAAAUUAUUCUCUACGGUAAAGCGUGAAGUUGAUGGACCUCGUAGAUAGUGUGAGUACGAUUGAACACGUCGGCAGUCACCUCCAACAUUUUUGGCAAGACGUCGACAUUCCUUUGGACCUCAGACCCGCAAACCUGGAAGAUAGAAUAUAAAAUAUCCUGGAAUUGUUUUUACGUUUGACGAUAUACCUUUUUAAAUAAAAGUUCU